UUUAUGUGGUGUGGAAAAACUCAGAACACAUAUUUAUUAUUGCUUUACACAGACUUUAAAUGUAUAUAGUUUCAUUUGUAUCUCAGGGCUCCAGACUGCAACAAAAUGACCCUAUUCCUAAGAACAUCCUCAGGGGGUAAGAACAGUUAAGCUGAUGCCAAGUUGAGCUACAGACAGGGGACAAAUUAAAGCGCUUUAAAUUGGUCCCCAUAUUAACACUUAACACUUAACAGAAACUUUGAAAAGGGUUCAUAUAGACUUCUAUUACAGUUGUAAUUAACUCCCUUUUAUUUUUUUAGAUUUUUACCGCAACUGUCUUGGCUACCACUACAGUCUUCUUCAGAAACACCCAAGUGUUGUAGCAAUGUCAGCUGGGAUAAGUUGUGUGAUGAGGUUGAUUCUGUGCUUCAGCAUGCUUCAGUGAGAACUUCACUGCCACUGAAAAAACUCUAUAUGGAGACAAGAGAGGACACCUUGCCUGAGGAUAUUACAGGAAUUGAUUUCAGGGGUGGACUCCUCCUCUUGCCAUCCAUCUUCAAGGAGAAGAUUGAGGAAUUCAUUAUUCUUGGAGAGAAUAAUUCUCUAACUCCCUAUCCAGCUGUUCAACUGAAAGACCAAGACUGGAAAAUUACAAGAUAUAUUCUGCAUAUUUUAAAAAGAAACUGAACUUUCUCCAGUGGUGCAUCGCAAACAUCAUUGAGGAUGGGGAAAAACCCCUGCUGGUAACUGUAAAUUAAGUGGUUAACCUUCUUUACUGUUCUUGCCUGGACUGUAUCAACGUUCAAAAAAAGAGGACCUUUACUCUCUUUAACUUUUAUU